UACGUAGGGUGCGAGCGUUAAUCGGAAUUACUGGGCGUAAAGCGUGCGCAGGCGGUUCGCCAAGUCAGGUGUGAAAUCCCCGGGCUUAACCUGGGAAUUGCGCUUGAAACUAACGGGCUUGAGUGCGGCAGAGGGGGGUGGAAUUCCACGUGUAGCAGUGAAAUGCGUAGAGAUGUGGAGGAACACCGAUGGCGAAGGCAGCCCCCUGGGUCGACACUGACGCUCAUGCACGAAAGCGUGGGGAGCAAACAGG
rnacentral:rRNA from 1 species